AUUGAACGCUGGCGGCAUGCCUUACACAUGCAAGUCGAACGGCAGCACGGGUGCUUGCACCUGGUGGCGAGUGGCGAACGGGUGAGUAAUACAUCGGAACAUGUCCUGUAGUGGGGGAUAGCCCGGCGAAAGCCGGAUUAAUACCGCAUACGAUCCACGGAUGAAAGCGGGGGACCUUCGGGCCUCGCGCUAUAGGGUUGGCCGAUGGCUGAUUAGCUAGUUGGUGGGGUAAAGGCCUACCAAGGCGACGAUCAGUAGCUGGUCUGAGAGGACGACCAGCCACACUGGGGCUGAGACACGGCCCAGACUCCUACGGGAGGCAGCAGUGGGGAAUUUUGGACAAUGGGCGAAAGCCUGAUCCAGUAAUGCCGCGUGUGUGAAGAAGGACUUCGGGUUGUAAAGCACUUUUGUCCGGAAAGAAAUCCUUGACUCUAAUACAGUCGGGGGAUGACGGUACCGGAAGAAUAAGCACCGGCUAACUACGUG
rnacentral:rRNA from 1 species